GACGAACGCUGGCGGCGUGCCUAAUACAUGCAAGUCGAACGCUGAAGGAGGAGCUUGCUUCUCUGGAUGAGUUGCGAACGGGUGAGUAACGCGUAGGUAACCUGCCUGGUAGCGGGGGAUAACUAUUGGAAACGAUAGCUAAUACCGCAUAAUAGUAGAUGUUGCAUGACAUUUGCUUAAAAGGUGCAAUUGCAUCACUACCAGAUGGACCUGCGUUGUAUUAGCUAGUUGGUGGGGUAACGGCUCACCAAGGCGACGAUACAUAGCCGACCUGGGAGGGUGAUCGGCCACACUGGGACUGAGACACGGCCCAGACUCCUACGGGAGGCAGCAGUAGGGAAUCUUCGGCAAUGGACGGAAGUCUGACCGAGCAACGCCGCGUGAGUGAAGAAGGGUUUCGGAUCGUAAAGCUCUGUUGUAAGAGAAGAACGAGUGUGAGAGUGGAAAGUUCACACUGUGACGGUAUCUUACCAGAAAGGGACGGCUAACUACGUG
rnacentral:rRNA from 1 species